UACGAAGGGGGGCUAGCGUUGCUCGGAAUCACUGGGCGUAAAGGGUGCGUAGGCGGGUCUUUUAAGUCAGGGGUGAAAUCCUGGAGCUCAACUCCAGAACUGCUUUUGAUACUGAAGAUCUUGAGUUCGGGAGAGGUGAGUGGAACUGCGAGUGUAGAGGUGAAAUUCGUAGAUAUUCGCAAGAACACCAGUGGCGAAGGCGGCUCACUGGUCCGGUACUGACGCUGAGGUGCGAAAGCGUGGGGAGCAAACAGGG
rnacentral:rRNA from 1 species